rnacentral:rRNA from 1 species
CACGUAGGGCGCAAGCGUUGUCCGGAAUUAUUGGGCGUAAAGAGCUCGUAGGCGGUCUGUUGCGUCCGCUGUGAAAACUCGGGGCUUAACCCCGAGCCUGCAGUGGAUACGGGCAGACUAGAGGUAGGUAGGGGAGAAUGGAAUUCCCGGUGUAGCGGUGAAAUGCGCAGAUAUCGGGAGGAACACCGGUGGCGAAGGCGGUUCUCUGGGCCUUACCUGACGCUGAGGCGCGAAAGCUAGGGUAGCAAACGGG